UACGUAGGGUGCGAGCGUUGUCCGGAAUUAUUGGGCGUAAAGAGCUCGUAGGCGGUCUGUCGCGUCGGAUGUGAAAACACGGGGCUCAACCCCGUGCCUGCAUUCGAUACGGGCAGACUAGAGUUCGGUAGGGGAGACUGGAAUUCCUGGUGUAGCGGUGAAAUGCGCAGAUAUCAGGAGGAACACCGAUGGCGAAGGCAGGUCUCUGGGCCACUACUGACGCUGAGAAGCGAAAGCGUGGGGAGCGAACAGG
rnacentral:rRNA from 1 species